GGAGGAUCCAAGCGUUGUCCGGAUUUAUUGGGUUUAAAGGGUGCGUAGGCGGACUGAUAAGUCAGAGGUGAAAGCCGGUAGCUCAACUAUCGAAUAGCCUUUGAAACUACCAGUCUUGAAUAUUGUUGAGGUAGGCGGAAUGUAUCAUGUAGCGGUGAAAUGCAUAGAUAUGAUACAGAACACCGAUUGCGAAGGCAGCUUACUAAGCAAUUAUUGACGCUGAGGCACGAAAGCGUGGGGAUCAAACAGGAUUAGAUACCCUGGUAGUCCACGCCGUAAACGUUGAAUACUUGCUGUUGGCGAUAUACAGUCAGCGGCUCAGCGAAAGCGUUAAGUAUUCCACCUGGGGAGUACGUUCGCAAGGAUG
rnacentral:rRNA from 1 species